GGCCUCUUGAGUACUUCAAUUAUUCAUUCAUAAAAGUAUUGGGGGCAUCUAUUUAUGCCAGGCACAAUUCUCAGGGAUAGGAAAACAUAAAUGAGCAAGAUGGAGAAGAACCCUAAUCUAAUUGAUUAGAACUCAUCUAAUGGAGCUUAAGUAUUAAGGGGUUCUAAAGAAAAUAUAAUUAAAAGAUAAUUAAUUAAGGUGUUCAGGGACAGAUUCUUUGAGGAAGUAAUAUUUGAGCUAAGACUUAAAGGAUUUAAAUGAGUGAGUCAGGCCAAGAAAAGGAAAAAGGCAGUCUAGAUAGAAGAAAUGGUACAGGUAUUAGUCAGGAACCUUUACAAACACAGAACUGAUAGGGUGUGGAUACAUGGAUAGAUGAUAGAUUAGACAGACAACAGAUUUACUAUAAGAAACUGACUCACUGAUUAUGGAGGCUGGCAAGUCCUAAGCUCUGAAGGGUGAAUUGACAAGCUGGAGACCUGCAGAGCUAAUGGUGUAGCUCCAACCCAAGUCCAUAGGCCUGAGAACCAGGAGCAUCAACCAUGUAUCUCUAGUCCAUAGGCUGGCAGUCUCAACACCUUGGAAGAACUCAUGUUUCAGUUCUAGUCUGAAGGCAGGAAAAAAAGCCAGUGUCCCAGUUCAGAGGAUGCCAGGCAGGAGGAAUUCUCUUUUACUCAGGGGAGGCUCAGCCUUUUUUCACUAUUCAGGACUUCAACUGACUGAAUGAAGGCCACUCGCAUUAUGGAGAGCAAUCUGCUUUACCCAGUCUCCCAACUUAAAUGUUUACCUCAUCCAGAAACACCUUGCAGAUCCACACAGAGUGAUAUCUGGCCAAAUAUCUGGACACACAUGACCCAACCAAGUUAACACAUAAAAUUAAUCAUCACUGUAGAUAUAAAAGCUGCAAAGGGAAAAUGAACUUGGGUUGCUGGAAGAAUAAAGGGAACUCCAAACUACACAACUGCUCCUGACAGAGAAGGCAAAUGCUGAGUGAUGUCUACUCAGGCAAGGGUAGUAGUGGAGACAUCAGUUUUCUAGAGGCUCUGAGACAGACCCAGAAUGCCUGCAAGGAUGGCAGUGUAAGCGCAGAUGUGGCCAGCUGGGUAGUUUAGGGCAUCU
rnacentral:lncRNA from 10 species